rnacentral:lncRNA from 1 species
AAUAAAAAUGGGAGGGAGAGUUAAAAAUAUUGGAGGGAAUAGAAUAUUUUAGUGAAAAUUUUAAAGCCACACUUAUAAUGUGUUGUUUUUUCAAUUAUAAAAAUAGGACACUUUAAAAGUGUGGCCAUAUAUGUAAAUAGGUGUUGCCAAUUAUAUCAUAUUGUAACAACAUUUAUAAAGUGUAGCUUAUACCAUUAAAGAGUACACUUUUGAAGUGUUGUCAAUAUUAUCGUAACUAAAAGUUAAAAACUUUGGCUACGCUUUAAAAG